rnacentral:misc_RNA from 1 species
CCCCCCCCCCCCCCCCCCCCCACUACCACCACUCUCCUCCCUUCCUCCUCACCACCUCCUACACCUCUGGCCUCAAGUACCCAAUUAAAAAAUAUUCAGAAAAAGGAAAAAUAAGACAUGAAACUAACAUCCAUCAUGAUGCUGUUUGCUUGCUUCCUUUCUUGCUAGUGCUUUGUUAGCUUCUCUCUUAUAUCUCCUCCUUUUCUUACAUACUGAAGAGUGUGUUUAGGACUAACCUCCCAAGAUUUUCUCUCAUUACAUUCUUUUCUUAGCAUUAAUUAGUUCUUUUCUUAAUAAUCUCUCCUACUCAGUGUUUUAAGGAGCCCAAGAUUUGCCCAUAUCAUUAUUAGAUUGUUAUACCCUUUUCCUUUCUUUGGUCAGUUUCAGUUGUUGGAUAUUUUUAUACCCUUCUCUCUACAUUAUAUAUAUAUAUAUAUAU